CGGGUGAGUAACACGUUUGCAACCUUCCUCUAACUGGAGAAUAGCCCGAAGAGAUUCGGAUUAAUACCCCAUAAAGUCAAUUUAAGGCAUCUUUUAUUGAUUAAAGCUCCGGCGGUUAGAGAUGGGCAUGCGUGUCAUUAGCUAGUUGGUGAGGUAACGGCUCACCAAGGCCACGAUGACUAGGGGGUCUGAGAGGAUGAUCCCCCACACUGGUACUGAGACACGGACCAGACUCCUACGGGAGGCAGCAGUGAGGAAUAUUGGGCAAUGGACGCAAGUCUGACCCAGCCAUGCCGCGUGCAGGAUGACUGCCCUAUGGGUUGUAAACUGCUUUUGUUUGGGAAGAAACCCCCGAUCGUGAUCGGGGCUGACGGUACCAUACGAAUAAGCAUCGGCUAACUCCGUGCCAGCAGCCGCGGUAAUACGGAGGAUGCAAGCGUUAUCCGGAUUCAUUGGGUUUAAAGGGUGCGCAGGCGGAAUAUUAAGUCAGUGGUGAAAUCCUGCAGCUUAACUGUAGAACUGCCAUUGAUACUGAUAUUCUUGAAUAUAGUUGAGGUGGGCGGAAUGUGUAAUGUAGCGGUGAAAUGCUUAGAUAUUACACAGAACACCAAUUGCGAAGGCAGCUCACUAAACUAAUAUUGACGCUGAGGCACGAAAGCGUGGGUAGCAAACAGGAUUAGAUACCCUGGUAGUCCACGCUGUAAACUAUGAUCACUCGCUGUUGGCAAUACAUCGUCAGCGGCUGAGCGAAAGCAUUAAGUGAUCCACCUGGGGAGUACGGUCGCAAGAUUGAAACUCAAAGGAAUUGACGGGGGCCCGCACAAGCGGAGGAACAUGUGGUUUAAUUCGAUGAUACGCGAGGAACCUUACCUGGGCUUAAAUGCAGAGCGACGUCCGCCGAAAGGUGGAUUCCUUCGGGCGAUCUGCAAGGUGCUGCAUGGUUGUCGUCAGCUCGUGCCGUGAGGUGUCGGGUUAAGUCCCAUAACGAGCGCAACCCUUAUCGUUAGUUGCCAGCGGGUAAUGCCGGGGACUCUAACGAAACUGCCGGUCGCAAACCGUGAGGAAGGUGGGGAUGACGUCAAAUCAGCACGGCCCUUAUGUCCAGGGCUACACACGUGUUACAAUGGUCGGUACAGAGGGCAGCUACCACGCAAGU
rnacentral:rRNA from 1 species